rnacentral:tmRNA from 1 species
GGGGGCGAUUGGCUUCGACGGGAGUAGUUGAGGCUGUAGAUGCAUGCCGAGGUGCCACAACCUCGCAAAUCAGUGGCAAACAAAAAUAACUGCCAACGAACAGUUACCACUCGCUGCGUAAUUAAAACGCAGCCGUCAAACUCGCUCAGCCCGCGGAACGGGUAAGACGUCGCUUUUGCGGGCUUUUCAGCUAUCCUGUUUCCUUCAGGGGAUCGUUGAGAAAAUGACUGAGGGACAUUCAAGCAGGUGUUAUUGCCGCUUUUAUUUGCCUGAUUUGGAUGACAAAAAAGAAAGCGGAUAAGCAUGUAGAUUCUGCAACCGAAGGCUUUCGGACGUGGGUUCGAUUCCCACCGCCUCCACCA